GAUCUCACAGCAGAAUUGGAAGCUGUAUCUUUACAAUGUGUCUAUUUGGCUGAAAACAAUCAAGUUACUCAACAGGAGUUAUCUAUGAAAAAAGUACAACAGGAAUGUGAAAAACUUGAGGAAAAUAAAAAGAUGUUGGAAGAAGGCAUGACACACAUGGAAAAAUAUGGUAGAACUUGGUAAAGUACAAGAAUAUAAAUUGGAGCUAGAAGAAAAAGCAAUGCCAGCAAUAGAAAAAAAAUAGAAGAAAUCCAUUAACAGAUGGAGUUGGACUGUGUAGAACAAAUAAUUAGAGAAACAAAGAAAAGCUAGAGUACAAUGGUAUGAUCUCAGUUCACCGCAACCUCCUCCUCCCAGGUUCAAAUGAUUCUCCUGCCUAAGCCCUCCG